UGUUGCUUGCAAGGGCGUAUGGUGGAUGCCUUGGCAGACAGGACCGAUGAAGGACGUUUGAGGCUGCGAUAUGCCUCGGGGAGCCGCCAACAGGGCUUUGAUCCGAGGAUUUCCGAAUGGGGGAACCCACCGACCGUCAUGGGUCGGUACCGGCUUCGGCCGGGGGGUACGCAGGGAAGUGAAACAUCUCAGUACCUGCAGGAAAGGAUAUUCCGUGAGUAGUGGCGAGCGAAAGCGGAUGAUGGCCAAACCUUGCGCGUGUGAUACCCGUCGGGGGUUGCGCGCGGGGUGUUGCGGGAUCGCGUGCGCCGGCUCCGACGGGCCGGCCGGCAGUUGCAGAAAACCAUGUGUCAGGGGAACCGGGUUGAAUACCGGGCCGCAGAGGGUGAGGGCCCCGUACCUGAACGCGCAUGGUCUGCCGAUCGCGUCUCCCAAGUAGCACGGGUCCCGUGGAACCCCGUGCGAAUCCGCCCAGACCGUUGGGUAAGCCUGAAUAUUCCUGUCUGACCGAUAGCGAACGAGUACCGUGAGGGAAAGGUGAAAAGUACCCCGGGAGGGGAGUGAAACAGUCUCUGAAACCGUGCGCCUACAAUCCGUCGGAGCCCUUUUGUGGGGUGACGGCGUGCCUAUCGAAAAAUGAGUCUGCGAGUCAGUGGCAUGUGGCGAGCAUAACCCGUGUGGGGUAUGCGUAGCGAAGGCGAGUCUUAAAAGGCGUUUGAGUCGCGUGUCCUGGACCCGAAGCGGGAUGAUCUAGCCCUGAGCAGGUUGAAGCGCGGGUAAGACCGCGUGGAGGACCGAACCCACCUGGGUUGAAAACCGGGGGGAUGACUUGGGGCUAGGGGUGAAAGGCCAAUCAAAUUCCGUGAUAGCUGGUUCUCUCCGAAAUGCAUUUGGGUGCAGCGUCGGGUCAUUACGUCCCGGGGGUAGAGCUACUGGAUGCUUGCGGGCCCGUAUCGGGUACCAACAGCAACCAAACUCCGAAUACCGGUGACGCGUAUCCCGGCAGUGAGUCGGCGGGGGAUAAGCUUCGUCGUCGAAAGGGAAACAGCCCAGACCGUCGUCUAAGGUCCCGAAGCGUGUGCUAAGUGGGAAAGGAUGUGGAGUCGCAUAGACAGCCAGGAGGUUGGCUCAGAAGCAGCCACCCUUGAAAGAGUGCGUAACAGCUCACUGGUCUAGUGGUUCCGCGCCGACAAUGUAGCGGGGCUCAAGCACACCACCGAAGACGCGGCAGUAUUUUGUACUGGGUAGGAGAGCGUCCCAUGAGGGGCGAAGCGGCCGUGUGAACGCGCCGUGGACUUCAUGGGAGUGAGAAUGCAGACAUGAGUAGCGAGAGACGGGUGAAGAUCCCGUCCGCUGGAUGACCAAGGGUUCCAGGGCCACGUUCAUCGUCCCUGGGUGAGUCGGGUCCUAAGGCGAGGCCGACAGGCGUAGUCGAAUGGAUGAACGGGUCGAUAUUCCCGUACCGGCUUUCAGCCGCCAAAACCGAGGCUUGGAGUACUAACCUCCGGGUCCGGGCUUACUGCUCCUUCGGGGGCGGGAUGCCCUGGCCUGUUGGGACCGAUCCUUGUAGUAGGUCAGCGCAGGAGUGACGCAGAAGGGUAGCCGGCCGCGGAGGUGGUCUUCCGUGGUCAAGCACGCAGGGCGUGGGACAGGCAAAUCCGUCCCGCAUGGGUCCGAGGUGCGAUGAUGGGGGCCUUAUGGCCCGAUAUCCGGUGAUCCCGGCUGCCGAGAAAAGCUUCGGCGUCAGGCUCAAAGCCGCCCGUACCCCAAACCGACACUGGUGGUCAGGUAGAGAAUACCAAAGCGAUCGAGCGAAUCCUGGUCAAGGAACUCGGCAAAUCACUCCCGUUCCUUCGGUUUAAGGGAGACCCCCGAUGGUGAACCGCCUCGCGCGGGGAGCUUUUGGGGGUGGCACAGACCAGGGGGUAGCGACUGUUUACCAAAAACACAGGUGCAUGCGAAGGCGCAAGCCGCUGUAUAUGCACUGACGCCUGCCCGGUGCCGGAAGGUUAAGAGGAUCCGUCAGCCUUCGGGUGAAGCGGUGAAUUCAAGCCCCGGUAAACGGCGGUGGUAACUAUAACCAUCCUAAGGUAGCGAAAUUCCUUGUCGGGUAAGUUCCGACCUGCACGAAUGGCGU
rnacentral:rRNA from 1 species